CAGCAGCCACGGUAAUACAGAGGGUGCGAGCGUUAAUCGGAUUUACUGGGCGUAAAGCGUGCGUAGGCGGCUUUUUAAGUCGGAUGUGAAAUCCCUGAGCUUAACUUAGGAAUUGCAUUCGAUACUGGGAAGCUAGAGUAUGGGAGAGGAUGGUAGAAUUCCAGGUGUAGCGGUGAAAUGCGUAGAGAUCUGGAGGAAUACCGAUGGCGAAGGCAGCCAUCUGGCCUAAUACUGACGCUGAGGUACGAAAGCAUGGGGAGCAAACAGGAUUAGAUACCCCCGUAGUCCCUGUCUCUUAUCA
rnacentral:rRNA from 1 species